rnacentral:rRNA from 1 species
AACGAACGCUGGCGGCAGGCCUAACACAUGCGAGUCGAGCGCCCCGCAAGGGGAGCGGCGGCCGGGUGAGUAACGCGUGGGAAUAUGCCCUUUUCUACGGAAUAGUCUCGGGAAACUGGGGGUAAUACCGUAUACGCCCUUUGGGGGAAAGAUUUAUCGGCGAAGGAUUAGCCCGCGUUGGAUUAGGUAGUUGGUGGGGUAAUGGCCUACCAAGCCGACGAUCCAUAGCUGGUUUGAGAGGAUGAUCAGCCACACUGGGACUGAGACACGGCCCAGACUCCUACGGGAGGCAGCAGUGGGGAAUCUUAGACAAUGGGGGCAACCCUGAUCUAGCCAUGCCGCGUGAGUGAUGAAGGCCUUAGGGUUGUAAAGCUCUUUCAGCUGGGAAGAUAAUGACGGUACCAGCAGAAGAAGCCCCGGCUAACUCCGUG